GACGAACGCUGGCGGCGUGCUUAACACAUGCAAGUCGAACGGAAAGGCCCUGCUUUUGUGGGGUGCUCGAGUGGCGAACGGGUGAGUAACACGUGAGUAACCUGCCCUUGACUUUGGGAUAACUUCAGGAAACUGGGGCUAAUACCGGAUAGGAGCUCCUGCUGCAUGGUGGGGGUUGGAAAGUUUCGGCGGUUGGGGAUGGACUCGCGGCUUAUCAGCUUGUUGGUGGGGUAGUGGCUUACCAAGGCUUUGACGGGUAGCCGGCCUGAGAGGGUGACCGGCCACAUUGGGACUGAGAGACGGCCCAGACUCCUACGGGAGGCAGCAGUGGGGAAUAUUGCACAAUGGGCGGAAGCCUGAUGCAGCAACGCCGCGUGCGGGAUGACGGCCUACGGGUUGUAAACCGCUUUCGCCUGUGACGAAGCGUGAGUGACGGUAAUGGGUAAAGAAGCACCGGCUAACUACGUG
rnacentral:rRNA from 1 species